CACCUCUCUCUCCAGCACCCUGGCUAGCACACUGAGGAAAAGGUUACAGCAGUUACAUCUGCUAUAAAUCUUCAUGCUAGAUGUCCGAUUUCUAGCUUUUAAGUCUUUUUUUUUUUCUCUUCCACCCCCAUACUUAAUGACAUAGAAUGUAAUGAGUAGUGCGUGCAGAAAGCUGGCGUGGUAACUGUGUGUUACAUACCUGUUGAGGGUGUUCUCCUGCAGAUAGAGCGAAAAAGUGACAGAGAGUGAGAGAGAGAAAGAGAUUGUGAGAAAGAAAUGAAGAGAAAGAGCAAAACAAAGUGUUGUAAAGUUUAAAUUUCCUAAUUGGCCCGAUGGUGUAUGUUCUACUGCACGUUUUGAGAUAGAACAUGUAAACCUUUAGUUAUCAAAUAAAAGUAAGUGUGUGUGUGUGUGUGUGUGUGUGUGUGUGUGUGUGUGUGUGUGUGUGUGUGUGUGUGUGUAAAUGUGAGCAUGCAUGUAUACGUGUUUUUGGCCUUUGGGUCUUCCUGUGAGUCACUCCCAUGAGAUAAACCCAGUAAAGCUGUCCUAGUCCUCUCUAAUUCCUCAUUAGCUCACGGCAGGCUGUCUCAGGGGGAUUUGCACUGCCUGUGGUGUGUGUGUAUGCGUUAGUUCAGGCUCACUAGAUCUGAACGUGAAACACUAUGGGGCUUCUUAGUGGGAGGCUGCGGCAGGCCAGGUGUGUGUUCACUGCCAGGUGUGUGUAUAUGCCAGGUUCAGGAGCAGGGGAUAAGUAUGUCAGCACAACAGUGUGUUAAGUAGCAUUCAAUUUGGGAUUAUGCGCAGAAAGGAAGAGACAGUGCGAGAGAGAGAGAGAGAGAGAGAGAGCUCUUUGAAUCAGUGCUUCUUCAGUUUAUCAGUUGAAUUAAUAUACAACCCCAAUACCAAAAAAGUUGGGACGUUGUGUAAAAUGUAAAUAAAAACAGAAUGCAAUGAUUUGCAAAUCUCAUAAACUCACGUUAUUCACAAUAGAACGUCAAAAACAUAUCAAAUGUUUAAUUUGAGUAAAUGUACCAUUUUAAGAUAAAAAAAAAAGUAAUGUUGAAUUUGAUGGUCGCAAAAUGUCUCAAAAAAGUUGGGACGGUGCAACAAAAGGCUGGAAAAGUAAGUGUUACUAAAAAGAAACAGCUGGAGGUUAAUUGGAAAUAGGUCAGUAAGAUGAUUGGGUGUAAAAAGAGUAUCUUUUUAUAGAGGCAGAGUCUUUCAGAAGUAAAGAUGGGCAGAGGUUCAUUAACGAAUGUGAAAAACUGCAUCUACAAAUUGUGGAACAAUUUCAGAAUAAUGUUCCUCAAUGUAAAAUUGAGAAAGACUAUGAAUAUCUCAUCAUCUACAAUACCUAAUAUCGUCAAAAGAUUCAGAGAUUCUUGAGAAAUCUCUGUGCACAAGGGACAAGGGUGAAAAUCAGUAUUGCGUUGCCCGUGAUCUUCGGGCCCUCAGGUGGCACUGGAUUAAAAAACAGGCAUGAUUCUGUAAUGGAAAUCAGUGAAAUCAGUGCAGAAACACCUCCAGAACUCAUUGUCUGUGAACACAGUUCGCCGUGCCAUCCACAAAUGCUGCUUAAAGCUCCAUCAUGCAAAGAAGAAGCCAUAUGUGAACAUGAUCCAGAAAUGCCGCCGUCUUCUCUCGGCCAAAGCUCAUUUAAAAUGGACUGGGGAAAAGUGGAAAACUGUUCUGUGAUCAGACGAAUGGAAGUUUUAAAUACUUUUUGAAAAACCAUAGACACUAAACUAAAGAGGACUAAAGAGGAGAGGGACCAUCCGGCUUCUUAUCAGUGCUCAGUUCAAAAGCCUGCGUCUCUGAUGGUAUGGGAGUGCAUUAGUGCCGAUGGAGUUGGCAGCUUGAAUACUGAGAAAUGCACCAUCAAUUCUGAAAGGUAUAUACAGGUUUUAUAGCAACAUCCAGAUGCUUCCAUCCAGAUUCCAUCCCAUCUUUACUUCUGAAAGACUCUGCCUCUCUAAGAUACUCUUUUUAUACCCAAUCAUGUUACUGACCUGUUGCCAGUUAACGUAAUUGGUCGCAAAAUGUUCCUAAUAAAUAAAUAAAUAAAUAAUAAUGAUGAUGAUAAUGAUGAUGAUUAUAACAUCACACUUUAUAUGACACAGUAAAGAUGUAUAAAUAUAUAAGCAGCAGAAUGGAAAUGGCAUCUUUUAUGGUCUGGAAAUAGAUGGUACAUAUCAACUUUGCAGUAAGAAUAAGGCAUACAGUCUUCGAUCAGACGAGCGCAACACAGUUUCAGCGAUGUGUUAUAACAUUGCCCUCCCGCGACCGUCCCCAUGACUGCUCUGCACCUUGAGGCUUUUUAAAUAGGACAAAGGAGAAGGUGAGAGGAGCCACACUUGUGUAGUCUUGCAGCUGUUUAUUUGAUAUUACCCUGUUUAUCUUGGGUGUUAAACUUUGUCAGAGUUUGCUUUUCCUGUUGGUUCUUAGCACAGGGCACCAGAUCUGCCUCAUCAGUGUGACCUUUGUGUUUGACCUGUCUCACAACCUCCGACCACAAACACACUCCAGCCUGAAAGACAGUGUGAAUGGGAUCCUGUUCAGAUCUGAUCUGUGAUCUCUAAACAGAUUUAAAAAAAAAUAAAAAUCUUUGUUGUGUUAUUGAACUUUCUUUAAAUUUCUGCAUAUAAUUGUGUCACAUUGUAGCGUUGUGACUCAUUUCAAAGGCAGUAAAUAACUAACUUUCUCAACACUGCUCAGUAGCUCCUACCAGUGGAAUGAUCUGAUACUGCAGCUGGAAAGCAGGUCAGCUGUAUUAUUCCACAGGAUGAGGCAUGAGAAUUGAAGAGUUUCAUUUAAUAACAAUUACUGUAGAACCAAUAAUACACGAUUGUUAUAUUAUUUUGUGUAGUCUAGAAUACGUUUAUCAGGACAAACCAUAUCAUGCAAGUCUCUUUAUUUAUCUCUAUAACCAUAAGCCAGCAGAUGAAAGCAUGAGGCACACUUUGGACAUGAGGUAAAUAGGAACAUAACAGGAACAGAUUUUCCCUCAUCAGAUGUACCUAGCCUUUGUUUGGAAAAGUGGGCCCUUGUAUGAAAUUGUAGCGCCCCCCCCCCCCCCCCCUUCUUUUUUCCAGUUGCUGUCUCUCAUCUUUCGUUUGCUUUGUCAGACCUGUGCCAGUGUUUCCUGAUAGUUGAGUAAUUACUUGUAAGAGAUAGCACUCCUACAGUGCUGUACUCCUAAUCGCACCGGCUGGUCUCCACUGCAGAUCAUUCGGAGGAUAAACAUGCUAGUUUAACAGCGCCAUAAACACCACUUUCGUCUGUAUCUAUGUGCGUGUGAUGUCCUGCACUAGCCCCCAUUUGUAUGCACAACAAAUGAGUCCAAGCACAGCCAUGUUCAGCUUUUAAAAGAUGACCAACUGUUACAUAGCAGGCUCACAGCUGAUGAUAGGAUGAUCACUGACAAUUUAGUGUGUUUGUUUCUUCUUCUCAGCAUCUCUCUUUUGCAGGGCAAACGCUGCUAGUGAAAUACGUUUGGCAUGCCACAAGUGUUUUGCGCUUCAAGCUACAGUUGCACACACAACUGAAACGUAUAUUGCUUUGAAAGCCUGACAUACAUUUCUGACAGUAAUUGACUGGAAUGUUCAUGUCACACCAGUGCACCCACAGAGACAGUUACUCGUUCCCUGUUACUUGUCUAACAUCCUCUCAUCUCACACAGGCUCCUCAUUGUAAUCCCCAAAACACACACACACACACACACACACACAAUUACACACACACUCCCAACAGUUAGCUAGCCCACUUUUGAACAGACAACCCCCCUCUCCCGGUUGCUUAUGAAGUCUGAAUCAGGGUUCAGUGUCUCAUCCACCAGCGGGGAUCUAAAUAUUCCAUUACAGUAUGUGUUUUCAUGCAAUUGUCCAAAAACAGGACGAAGAGCCGUAAACGAUAUACCAGUAGAGGCAUCAUAUAAUGUAGCAGACCUCCAUACAGUUCUCUGUCUCCUUCUCACUUACAUGUGUUCUCUCUCUCUCUCUCUCUCUCUCUCUCUCUCUCUCUCUCUCUCGCUCUCUCUCACACCUCACUUACAGACAAUAAUCUCUCAGGACAUCCCUUGAUAUCCCAUAAGAACCCCACCCAGGAGGAAGAGUAACCCGAGAGCCCGUUUCUCAGGCUGUGUGUAUGUGUCUUCAGUGAAACUGUAGUAAUGUGAGACUGGCAAGUGAGGAAGCAGCACUGUAAACAGUACACAGUCAUUAACAGUGUGAAACCAGACACUGACAGUGCUGAAGCUGGUCAGUUCCCCAGCAUCAUCAGAGUGCAUUGUCCUCAUUGUCCAUCACUGUUCAGUGUCUGGUCAUGGGGGAGCCCUGCAACCACCCACCCAGACUGUUCACCGUGGGAAGCAGCACAUCAAGAAGAAUUGUGCAUGUUUGGCUCAGGUGCUGAGAGGAGCCGGUCAGCCUGAACGUGUUAACAAGAGAGGAUUCCUCUCAUCCACUGAAAGACGUGCAUGCUAGCAGCAUGGAGUUAGACACUGUAUGGUUUCCAUAUGGUUAUGUCUUCAUGUUUGAUAUCUUGGUAUCGAUGACUGGAUUGGUAAUAAUAUAAUGGCCCUGUUGUCAUUCAUUUUUAUUGAAUGUAGAAACUGUGUAUGUAGGAGUUUUUUUGAGGCAGCAUCACAUGAAUUACAUUCAACCACACAAUACAAUAUAACAUGACUACUACAAUGCAAUAGAGUAAAUGUUCUGUUUUUUAAAGACACACCAGGGCCGUCGACCCCUAGUGUCAUCCUGAGACUCGCCACCCAUGGACUGUCUGAUAUAUUUUGCACACUUUUCUGGCUUCAAACUUCAGAAUCUUAAAGGAUUCAAUCUGAAU
ensembl:lncRNA